rnacentral:sRNA from 1 species
UUUUAAAAAAAAUUACAUCCUCUUCUGCCAAAAUCAUUUCAUAAGACAUCACAAAACCUUUGGAAUAAUAAUUCCAUGAAUGAAGAAUCCUAAUUUGAAUAUACCAAGAGGUUUUGAAAGGUUUUAACUUUUUGAUAGGUGUGUAUGUGAGAAGGUACAGACAUCGUGAUAGUAAUCUGCUUAUUUAUAAUUUCAACUUGCAAUAUACCGCAGGUAAGCUUAUAUUUUAGUUAAACUAAAAUUUUUUAUUGUAAAGAUGAUUAUAAAUAUAUGAUAUUAUUUUAUUUAAUUUUAAAUAUACAGUAAACUGCGAGUUGUAUAUGUUUUGUUGAUAUUAUUUAUAUUGUUUAGUGUUUAAAAUUAUACACUUGUAUUUUGAUUGUUAAUUUUAGAGUUUCACCUGUAGUAUACCAUCUUAUAUUAAUAUCAAUUUAAACCCGUCAAUUCUAGGGUUUUCCAGCUUGUAUUAAAAAUUGAAUCACAUCAUACACAUAAAAAAAUCUAAUAUGUUAUUAAUUAUUGUAGAAUAUAAGAUUAUAAAAU